ACAACACGAAGGACAUUUACAAAUGAACCUAAUGCUAACUGGGAAUAUGUCAUCUGCUCAGUAUAUAUUCAAGACAGCUGGUAUCACGACCAUCACGCCCCGAACGACUCGUGCACAUGUGCAGUGCUGAUCAGAGGUAGACAUCAGAAUCUGGCCGUACUUGCCGACUUGGUGCAAGAACGCCCCCAGGGUAUACGGAAUGGUGAGGAUCUUGCCCGUGAGGAGGAUGUUCAGGUUAUGUCGUCUACAUCAAUGCACCCUUCUGAUGGGAGCGCUUCUAGUCGCCCUAGUUGUCACUAACAUUCGUAUAUCUAAAGUCAUGGAUGCAAGUGGUGGCAACGUCAAGUCAAUGACUUGGGCUUCACAUGACCAAACCACACGACAUCAAGAUGUACGCCAGGGACCACAUGACCCGACUAUAGAGGCGAUACAGCAGCGAGUGAGACACGUACAGAACAGAUGCAGAGGGAUGCAGGGGCACCAGGGGGUGCUGCGGAGGGUGUAUGUCAGUGAAGGAACGAAACUGGCUUACUGCCCCGUAGCUAAAAUUGGCACGACCUUCUGGAAGAGAGUGUUCCUGUUCUUGAACAAUGACACAGGUCUAUACCACGUUCCCAGUCCUUUUCAAAUACCACGAUCAUUUGUUCACUAUGGCAAUACAACAAACACAAAGGUAUUGAAGAGGGGGCACAUGAGCGGAGCCAUACUCAACAAGUACACUCGCAUUAUGUUUUCAAGGAACCCAUACGCACGACUUUGGUCAGCAUAUCUGGAUAAAUUGUAUCUUCCAGAUUUCUGGAAGAAGCAUUCAGGUAAAAUAAUUAAAACACGAACAAAUAUUACCGAGGAAGCUUCAAAAUGCCAUAAUGAUGUCAGCUUUCGGGAGUUUCUGGAAUACGUUGUUUCGGGUUCCAAAAUACGUAAAAAUGAGCACUGGCAACCAAUUAAGUACAGAUGCGAUCCCUGUCAGUUCAGGCCAAACAUUAUCGGGAAAAUGGAGACAUUUAGUGAUGACGCGAGGUACACUUUAGAGGGAAAUGGUCGCGGGUGGAUGUUGAAGUCGUUUGACUACGACGCGUAUGUACGGGAAGAACUCACUACCCUUAUCGACUAUAACUUUGAUGUGAGACUGGGAACAUUUCUUUACACGUGUAUAAAUAAGACGGAACUCAUUAGAAGGCUAUGGACUGUUUUCCAGUGGAAUGGAUUCCUUUCGAACAACACUGACGCUACUUCUGUUGUUAAAAAGCUGACGAAAAUGCCCAAUAUCAACAGGACUGUGUUCAGAAAGUUUGUAUUAGACACAUAUUUCUCGGCAUCUAAGAUGGAGAGAAAAAAGUGGAAAAAUCAAAGACAAGAAGCACUGAUAGCGGCAUACAAAUGCAUUCCCAUUUCCUUGUUGAAAUCUGUCAUGGAACUGUUUAAAGAUGAUUUUGAAGACUUUGGAUAUAGUAACAUACCUCCUGGAUUUGAGUACGUUGCUCAGCAGUAGAAUGUAGGGAUCUCCCCGUGAUCUGCCAACACAAUCUAUGGAUUUCCUAGAGACGUGGUCUUUCCCGGUCCAGUUCUCAGGCAUGUAAACAUGUGUUUGGCAGCCGUUACAUGUGGAAAAUGUAUUCCUUGAUCCCUAUAACUUGAGAUUACCAUGAGGUAAACUGUAAUACUUGUUCCUUGAUUUUGGCUUGCUAAUGGCGACAGCUCGGACAUCAUAGGGCAAGUUGAAUUGUGACGACUGUUUCACGUUGAGUCAGUGGCUGUAAUGUUCACACCAGGUAGAUUGAUCAUGUCUGGGUAUAAUGUUCACACCAGGUAGAUUGAUCAUGUCUGGGUAUAAUGUUCACAACAGGUAGAUUGAUCAUGCCUGGGUAUAAUGUUCACAACAGGUAGAUUGAUCAUGUCUGGGUAUAAUGUUCACACCAGGUAGAUUGAUCAUGCCUGGGUAUAAUGUUCACAACAGGUAGAUUGAUCAUGCCUGGGUAUAAUGUUCACAACAGGUAGAUUGAUCAUGCCUGGGUAUAAUGUUCACACCAGGUAGAUUGAUCAUGCCUGGGUAUAAUGUUCACAACAGGUAGAUUGAUCAUGCCUGGGUAUAAUGUUCACAACAGGUAGAUUGAUCAUGCCUGGGUAUAAUGUUCACACCAGGUAGAUUGAUCAUGCCUGGGUAUAAUGUUCACAACAGGUAGAUUGAUCAUGCCUGGGUAUAAUGUUCACACCAGGUAGAUUGAUCAUGUCUGGGUAUAAUGUUCACACCAGGUAGAUUGAUCAUGUCUGUCAGUUCAAAUAAAAUCGGUACUAAAUUAUCUAUUUUGUAACAGCAUAAACAUUUAAUGAAAUGUUGCUGAAAUGUUCAUUGAAUAUUGCAGAAAUGGGUUGUGAUUUGUAUUUAACAAUGAAAAUAAUAUUGAUCGUUUGGAUAUUUUAUGUCUUGUAUUGUAUAUAUGCAGCAUACAUCAUUGCAGGAUACAGAAAGUAGUAGGUGUCACCUGAACUGAUCAGUAGUAUCGAUCAAUGUUUGGCUUAUCUACAAUCAAUCAAUCUUUAUUUCAAGUACUGAAAAGGCCAUAGGCCUAUAGUACAUAUACACAUACAGUAGCAAUGAGUGUAAUAGGAAUUGCAUAUAUCGUAACUAAAUAUCACAUCUAUAAUGCAGAGGAUCUGAUGUUUAUUGCAUGGUAUAUAUACAUUGCAAGGUAUUUUGUGACUGUUUCAUUUUGAGAUGACAUAAGGAUAUAAAAUUUGUCUAUUCUAGGAUUCAGAUAAAAAUAUGUAUGUAUGUAUUCUUUUCUGAUGUUUGCAUACAAUGGACAGACUAGCGAAAAUGGUAUUCAUCCUCUAUCUCAUGGCAAGUACAAUAUUUACACAAUCUGUUUUCCCUUGAUAUCGCUAAAUGUCUACCUUUUUCUAUUAGAAGGUCAUGAGAACUACAUCUGAAACGGAAUUUCUUAACAUUUAUAUCCAAAAGAUAUUUUUCAGUAAGAAUGAAAGAUUUAAAACAAUUGUAAUGAUUUAACUUAUUGUGUAAACAGAGUGAAGAGUACCACUUUUGAAAAUACAUAUCUUUUAGCCUUUGUCUUAAAUUAUAUACGAAACGAUCUGGUACUGUUACAUGUUGCUCUCUCUAAAUGUACUCAUACCCGCAAGAUUGGAGUAUCUUUUUGACACCCGAGGCCCAGUUAUUUUUACCUCUGCUAUCGUAAAGAAUCAUUUCUUUGGGAAUCUGGUACAAUUUUAUCCAAUAUUUUAUUACGUUUAUGUAACUAAAUGUAUAUAUAUAUAUAGGGUAUCUCCCAAAUUCCCCGUAAACUGUAACAUUUGAAGUGUUGGAAUUUACUUCUAAAAAUCUUUUACACACAAAUAGAUGUACCUUCUCUAUUGUAACAGUUUCCUAGACCCCAUACUUCAACACCAUAGAUUAGAAUAGGACUGAUCUUUGUGUCGAAAAUCUUGAAACAAGUGUCAUACCUAAUAUUUCCAAGGGGUUUUAGGUUUGUGAAAUGACAAUUAAAAUAUUUUUGGCUUGCAGUGCGGCUUUAUCGCAAUGCAUUGACCAAGUUAGUCGAUUUGUAAAAUGUACCCCCAAAUAUUUGUAACUUCUUACAACCUCAAGUUUUUUACCUUUAUAUGACCAUUUUUUCUCGUUUUGAUAAUUUCCCUCCAUUUUUGAAAACUAUAACCUUUGUCUUAUCGAUAUUGACCUUCAAUGUCCAUUUGUUACAAUAGUACUUAAGUUCAUUUAUUAACUUUUGAAGUCCAGGCAAUUUGCUCGAGAACCUAACUAUAUCAUCAGCAAAUAGGAGUAGAAAAAGUUUAAUGGUGGAGUUGGAUGCCUGCGUUACAAUUUUCAGAUAUUUGUAUCGAAAGUUCAUUUAUGAAAAACGAAAACAGAAAUGGAAUUAGAAUACAUCCUUGUCUAACCCCAAUAUUACAAUAGAAGGAAUCAGUUAAGGUGUUUUUGUUUCGAACACAAACCUCCACACAUGAUAUAUGCAACAUGGUAAUUUAACAAUUUUAGUUCUGAUACCUUGAGAUUUGCAAAGGGACCACACCACGUUUCUGUUAAUUGAGACAAACGCUUUAGCAAAAUCAACAAAUAUAGCAUACAUUUUUCUCCUAUUGUGCUAAAUAUCUCUGUACUAGUGUCUGCAAUAUAAAUACAUCAUCAAUGUAUCCACGCCUGAAACCGCCAUGAGACUCAUCUAUCUUAAUAAAGGAAUCGGUCAAAAAUACUAAACGUUUGUGUAUAAUACUGGUAAAGAUCUUACAGAAAACACUCAAAAGAGUUAUACCCCUAUUGUUGUUGGUGACAUUAGUUGAUCCCUGUUUGUGCAAAGGAAUUACAAUCCCCAAAGUCAGCUGUUCUGUUCUGUUAUUUAAACAAUUCAGGAAUCAAGUUAUCGUCUAUAGAUGCUUAAUUACUUUUUAAGUUUGCAAUGCUUUCUAAAAUUUCGUUUCUUGUUAUAGGCAAAUCAAGAAUAUCUGAAGUUAAAUGACAAAAAGAGUUAUCAAAUGCAUUCGAUUCGUCGAUAUCAUAACAUCUAUCCUCGUUCUCUGUAGAAGUUGAAAAUAGAUCCUAGAAAUAGUUAAACCAAUCAUCAAUUGGAAUAUUGUUUUCUGCAUAACAAUUAGUAUUUAGUCUUUUAAGAGGGGUCCAAAAUUGUUUAGAAUCGCGUAUACAAUGUUCAAGAUUUUCCUGCUUCCCUUUCACUUUCUUUUCUCUGCAUACACUAUUAUAUUUAUUUCUAAUAUAAUUAUACUCAUAUAAUGAGUUAUUAUCCUUUUUUCUCCUAAAACUGUUUAAAUAUAUACAUUUUUCUUUUUUAAGUAGCUCAUAUUCACGGUCAAACCACUGUUGACGAGAUGUGUUAAAAGUACACCCUCUUUUCAUGUCACUUGCUGCCGUGCACAAGGCCUCUGACAUGUAUCUAACACUAUCGUCUAUAUUGUGUAACACUUCGUCAACAGCCUUUUCUAAUAAAGAGUGGCAUUCACUGCUCAACAAGUUGUACAUAAAUUGGUCAGCUUUAUCAUUUACCCAAACGAAUUGGAAGCCUUCUUUUACCAUGAGCUUGCACGAGUUCAGCCUGCACAGAAGUAUGUAAGCUAGCCAUGACAGGAAGAUGAA
rnacentral:misc_RNA from 1 species